GAUGAACGCUGGCGGCGUGCCUAAUACAUGCAAGUCGAGCGAACAGACGAGGAGCUUGCUCCUCUGACGUUAGCGGCGGACGGGUGAGUAACACGUGGAUAACCUACCUCUAAGACUGGGAUAACUUCGGGAAACCGGUGCUAAUACCGGAUAAUAUAUUGAACCGCAUGGUUCAAUAGUGAAUGACGGUUUUGCUGUCACUUAUAGAUGGAUCCGCGCCGCAUUAGCUAGUUGGUAAGGUAACGGCUUACCAAGGCAACGAUGCGUAGCCGACCGGAGAGGGUGAUCGGCCACACGGGAAGUGAGACACGGUCCAGACUCCUACGGGAGGCAGCAGUAGGGAAUCUUACGCAGUGGGCGAAAGCCUGACGGAGCAACGCCGCGUGAGAGAUGAAGGUCUUCGGAUCGUAAAACUCUGUUAUGAGGGAAGAACAAAUGUGUAAGUAACUAUGCACGUCUUGACGGUACCUAAUCAGAAAGCCACGGCUAACUACGUG
rnacentral:rRNA from 1 species